rnacentral:piRNA from 1 species
UACUUUUAAGCCAGAUUGAUGAUGAUGUC